UACGGCAACAACAGGUUGAAAAACCGGUUCCCGUAUGACCAUCGAAGUUAAGCAAUGUCAAGCCUGGUCAGUACCUAGAUGGGUGACCGCUAGGGAAUUCCAA